GUGAGGAAUAUUGGACAAUGGAUGGAAAUCUGAUCCAGCCAUGCCGCGUGCAGGAAGACGGCCCUAUGGGUUGUAAACUGCUUUUAUACGGGAGCAAUAAGGUCUAUGCAUAGAUUGAUGAGAGUACCGUAUGAAUAAGCAUCGGCUAACUCCGUGCCAGCAGCCGCGGUAAUACGGAGGAUGCGAGCGUUAUCCGGAUUUAUUGGGUUUAAAGGGUGCGUAGGCGGCUUUGUAAGUCAGCGGUGAAAUUUUGCAGCUUAACUGUAAAAGCGCCGUUGAUACUGUGAAGCUAGGAUCUGGUUGCUGUGGGCGGAAUGUGUGGUGUAGCGGUGAAAUGCAUAGAGAUCACACAGAAUAUCGAUUGCGAAGGCAGCUCACAAAGCCAAUAUUGACGCUGAGGCACGAAAGUGUGGGGAUCAAACAGGAUUAGAAACCCCUGUAGUCC
rnacentral:rRNA from 1 species